CGGAGGCUACCGCUAUUGGAGUCCGAUUAAGACAUGCGAGUCGAGAGCUUUCGGAGCUCGGCAUACUGCUCAGUAACACGUGGGUAACCUGCCCUGUGCUGGGGGAUAACCUCGGGAAACUGAGAACAAUACCCCAUAGUCCACUACGCCUGGAACGGUGAGUGGAUGAAAGCCCCGGCGGCACAGGAUGGGCCUGCGGCGUAUCAGGUAGUAGGGGGUGUAAAGUACCCUCUAGCCUUCGACGCGUACGGGUUGUGAGAGCAAUAGCCCGGAGAUGGAUUCUGAGACACGAAUCCAGGUCCUACGGGACGCAGCAGUCGCGAAACCUUGACAAUGCGGGAAACCGUGAUCAGGGGACUCCAAGUGCCAGGAGUAAGAUCCUGUGCUUUUCUUUUCUCUUCAAAGGAUUUGGAAUAAGAGGUGGGUAAGGACGGUGCCAGCCGCCGCGGUAAUACCGGCGCCUCGAGUGGUAGUCGAUUUUAUUGGGCCUAAAACGUCCGUCGCCGGUCUGGUGCAUUCGUGGGUAAAUCAACCCGCUCAACGGGUUGAAUUCUGCGAGCACGGCCAGACUAGGGACCGGGAGAGGUGUGGGGUACGCUCGGGGUAGGGGUAAAAUCCUGUCAUCCCGAGCGGACCACCUGUUGCGAAGGCUCCACACUAGAACGGAUCCGACGGUCAGGGACGAAGCCUAGGGGCACGAACCGGAUUAGAUACCCGGGUAGUCCUAGGUGUAAACGCUGUGGACUUGGUGUUGGGAGCUCCCAGAGGGCUCUCAGUGCCGUAGCGAAGGUGAUAAGUCCACUGCCUGGGGAGUACGGUCGCAAGGCUGAAACUUAAAGGAAUUGGCGGGG
rnacentral:rRNA from 1 species